GACGAACGCUGGCGGCGUGCCUAAUACAUGCAAGUCGAGCGGACUUUUCAAAAGCUUGCCUUUGGAAAGUCAGCGGCGGACGGGUGAGUAACACGUGGGCAACCUGCCUGUAAGACUGGGAUAACUUCGGGAAACCGGAGCCAAUACUGGAUGAUAUAAGGAACCUCCUGGUUCUUUAUUGACUGAUGGUUUCGGCUAUCACUUACAGAUGGGCCCGCGGCGCAUUAGCUAGGUGGUGAGGUAACGGCUCAACAAGGCGACGAUGCGUAACCGACCUGAGAGGGUGAUCGGCCACACUGGGACUGAGACACGGCCCAGACUCCUACGGGAGGCAGCAGUAGGGAAUCUUCCACAAUGGACGAAAGUCUGAUGGAGCAACGCCGCGUGAGCGAUGAAGGCCUUCGGGUCGUAAAGCUCUGUUGUUAGGGAAGAACAAGUGCGAGAGUAACUGCUCGCACCAUGACGGUACCUAACCAGAAAGCCACGGCUAACUACGUGCCAGCAGCCGCGGUAAAAC
rnacentral:rRNA from 1 species